GCGGGAGUAGCUCAGUUGGUAGAGCAUUGGCCUUCCAAGUCAAUGGUCGCGGGUUCGAGCCCCGUCUUCCGCU
rnacentral:tRNA from 1 species